CGGCUGAGUUCCUUCCCCCACCCUCCAGCCCUGAGCCCUGAGAGGGGGAUUGAGCCUGAGAGAGGAGAAGGAGUUUCUUCUUCUUCGAAAACCCCCAUCCACGACUCCUACCCCCUCACCCCUCCAACUCGCCUCCCUCCCUCCACCCUCCUCCUCUUUGGCCGUGAGAGGAGGAGAGAAAGAAACCAAAAGCCUCUUAGCAACACAGACCCUUUGCUGCUGCUGUUGCUGCUGCUGCUGCUGUUGCUGCUGCUGCUGCUACUGCUGCUGCUGCUACUGCUGCUGCUUGGCCCUGGCUGGAGACAUCUCACUACACCCAGGAGCAGCCACUUCCCCAGCUCUCCUCCUCCUCCUUCGCCUCCUCCUCCUCCACUCCCCCCCUUUAUUACCCUUUGUGUCAUCCUCCACAGCUCCAGGGAAGGCACUCAAAAGUGGGGGGCAGGAAAGACAAUUAUCAACUUUCCAGUUUUCUAUGGAUAUGAAGAUUUACUCCUAGUCAUCAGUGGGACCCCCAUGAAGUCAGCCAGAAAGCCUAUAUCC
rnacentral:lncRNA from 1 species